CACACCAAGGUGUCACUAGUCCAGAAUCUAAACAGCAUCUAACCAGCAGAAGUUAUUCUUCAAACAUGAAUCCCACGAUGAGCCACUGCAUUAUGUAAAAUUCAUGAAUUAUUCAUUAGCUCUGGUUUAGCAUUCAUCCUACCGCUUAAGCUAAAGUCUGCCCUGUAUUUGCAGAGCAACAAAUUCUUCAAGGGCUUGGCCAGAACCUCAACCUCCUAACGAGAAGGGGAAGCCGAAGGGGAGAAGGGAAGAGUCAACAAGCUGAACAGCUUGGAAAAUGAAACUAAGAAGAUCACAUCCUCAAAUUAUUGAUAACCGCCUAAUUUCAGUUUUUAUUAAGUCCAUCUGAUCUAUGAGUCAAGGACAUAUGGAGCAUUUUUCUUCAUCUCAGUACUUCAUUGUUCAUAAUAUAGACAAAGAUUUUCUCCAUUAUUUCUCAACUAUUAUGAUUACUAUCCAGAUGCGUACCUGCUGCUGAAAUAUAUCUUUACCUGUCAAAAUUGAAGUCUAUGGAAGUACUCACUGCAGAAGAGAGAGUUCAAUGCUAUGAAGUGCCCCCCUCUACAGGAAAUACAGGGACAUGCUCUGGUAAUGAAAGAGGGACACCAGCACCCAGAGGAAUGCCAACUAAUACAUGGAGUGACAGAGACAUUAACAUCAGAGUUGUUGCUG